CAGCAGCCACGGUAAUCCGAGGGGGGCAAGCGUUGUUCGGAAUUAUUGGGCGUAAAGGGCGCGUAGGCGGUCUGACAAGUCUUAUGUGAAAUCUCUGGGCUCAACCCAGAGUCUGCAUGGGAAACUGUCGGGCUUGAGUAUGGGAGAGGUGAGUGGAAUUUCCGGUGCAGCGGUGAAAUGCGUAGAUAUCGGAAAGAACACCAACGGCGAAAGCACUCUGCUGGGCCGACACUGACACUGAGAGACGAAAGCUAGGGGAGCAAAUGGGAUUAGAGACCCGCGUAGUCCCUGUCUCUUAUAC
rnacentral:rRNA from 1 species